rnacentral:rRNA from 1 species
UACGUAGGGUGCAAGCGUUAAUCGGAAUUACUGGGCGUAAAGGGUGUGUAGGCGGUUCUUUAAGUUUGGUGUGAAAUCUCCCGGCUCAACUGGGAGGGUGCGCCGAAUACUGAGGGACUAGAGUACGGGAGAGGAAAGUGGAAUUCCUGGUGUAGCGGUGAAAUGCGUAGAUAUCGAGAGGAACACCUGCGGCGAAGGCGGGUUGCUGGGCCGACACUGACGCUGAUGCGCGAAAGCCAGGGGAGCGAACGGG